AUGUCUCACGCUCCCGACCGGCUUGCCUCGCCGCCUGCCCCAUGCUCCCCACCGGCGCACCCCAUCUCCAUCCACCGAGCCACCUCGCCACCAAUUGCAGAAGAUGGAGGCCUCGGCCUGCAGCUAGAGGAGGUCUCGACCUGCAUCUACAGAUGGAUGGCAGUGGGAGGUUACUCCUUCAGGCGGUAUUCAACAGGGCAGAGCGUUGCUGCCCAUCAACACUCCCGCGUGCCCGUUCUCGCAUCAAUAUCUAAUUUUGCUGUCUUGCGUGUGAAACCAAUAUUUCAUCUACCAACUGAGAUUCUAAUUGUCUUGUGA
rnacentral:rRNA from 1 species